AGGAGGGAAACGAAUGCAGCUGAAGUGGCUCCGUAUCAGGUUCAGGGGACGUUGGAGGUGCUCUGGGUGUCGACGAAUGUUGCCGCCCUGAGAGGCCGCCGACAACUCUGCACUCCUGUUGGGAGCCGGCCAACAGCAGUUGCUUCUGGCCCAGAAGGUCGGUCGGGAGGUGCCCCCGCACUCGUGUGGGGAGCGUAUAGCCGUUCGUCUGGCGGUCUGGGGGCGACUGAGGAGAGACGUGAAUUUUCACGCGUGCAGCGCAGGCCCCUCGGGGCCGGGCCGCCUCUGUCCGUUUGGGUCCCGCGGUGGGGACUGCUUGCAGUGUCUGCUGACGVUYCGCC
rnacentral:rRNA from 1 species